rnacentral:tRNA from 1 species
GCUAAUAGUGGCAUAGUGGUUUGAGUGCUGAACUACGACUCUGGAGGCCAGGGUUCAAUUCCUGCUUGGCC